rnacentral:ncRNA from 1 species
AAAAAUGCGAUGAAGAGAGAUAGUAAAUAUUUUGGAUAUUACAGAGAGGAGUUGGUUGGUGAAAAACUCUAUUGAUGAGAUAUUGAACCAGUCUUGGAGCUGUGUACCGAUUGAGUCAGUCAUUAGGCUACACUGGGAACGCCCAUUACAGCGUCAGAGUAUCGAAAGAGAUUUCCGUACUUGAUAAGGUCUAUAUUGUGAAAUAUAGAUGAAUUAAGGUGGUAACACGAAGCAAUUAAUAGCUAUCGUCCUUAAA